rnacentral:rRNA from 1 species
UGGGACAGAUGAUUAGGGUGAAGUCGUAACAAGGUAGCCGUAGGAGAACCUGCGGCUGGAUCACCUCCUUUCUAAGGAAUAA